UUAUACACAUCUUUUGACAAUAAUCGCUUUCAGAAUUAUUAAGAAUAUUGUCAAAUAAUAAGCAAUCCUGCAUAGAUAGAUUUAUUAUUCUAUNUGUAUUUAGUUAUUAAUACUUUAUUAGUAUUUUUACCUUUCCUAUAAAUUUAGUUCUUCUAACUUAUUGUUUUACUUGUCGUCCAGCAUCAGUGUGUCUGAUCUCAGCAUCAGUCUCUCUCUACCUCUGGAAGGUGGAAUAUCAGGAUAACAACACCUACAGCUGUGUGAUCAACAAUCCCAUCAGAAACCAGACUCAACAUCUGAACAUCAGUCAACUCUGUCACACAUAUUCAGGUUCUCCAGUCUCUGUACCUCUGAUAGUGCUGGUUUCUGUUGCUGCUGGAUUUCUGUUGAUUGUCGCUGCAGUCAGGAUCUUCUGCAUCUGCAGGAAAACAGACCAAGAGGUUCAGAGUGGUGAAGAAAUCACAUAUGCUGAUCCGACGUUCUUCAAAAGAAAAGCACAUAAGUCGCGUGUUCAAGAGCAGGAAGAUGUGGUGUAUGCAGGAGUGGCCAGACACUGAUAAAAAUGUGAUUCUGUUUAAGGCCAACUUUCUAGAACCCACAGAUCCAAAAUGGAACAAGAAGAUUGCUGUAUUAGUGCAGAUAUUUUGUGUAUAAUGAAAAAUGCAUAUUUUAUGUCAAAGGAUUCACACACAUACCUUUGAAUAUCUCAUACUAAAGGUGUUUAUAAGACAGUAAUAUUUGUUGAACCUCACCCUCACACAAUCUUGUUGACAUCAUUCAAAAAAGUGAGUUCAUCGAUGUUAACAUGGUGUAGUAUAUAUAUAUAUAUAUAUAUAUAUAUAUAUAUAGUUUUAUUUUUUUGUAUGUUUGUGUUUUCAGAUGUUACUGUACAGACAGUCCUGUGUGUCUCUGCUCAUACAGUGAACCUUUUGAAGCUUUUAAACAUGUUAUUUUACCAAUAGCUUUCUCUCACUGUGAUGUUUAAAAAUACCAAAUGUAAGAUAUAUCUAUAUAUCCAAAUUCUUCAAACUGUAUUGCUUGAACUGUAUGCCGGUGUUUAUAGUAUAUUGUUCUUUUUAUAGUACAUUUUGUAGUAAACACAAAAUAAAUAAAGAAAUAAUAUAUCAUUUCUAGAAUAAUAAUUUCUACUGACAUUCUCUGUUUUUUCCAUCAUCUUGUUAACAAUAACAUAACUCUUUAGGCACAUUUACAUCUUGCAUACUUCCAAUUGUUUAUUUAAUGUGACGUGCCGUGCCGCUGUCUUUGAUCUUCUCAGAUGCCUUCUGAACAUGCGGUUGAGGAUUUUUUUAUUCUGAUAUGUCAAAUUGUUGUCAAAUUUAUAAUACAUUUCAAAAUGGCAUAGAUUUGGCAUGACACAAGGAAUAAAUCGACACCAAUAUCAUGACACCAAGACUCUGACAAACUGUUCAAAAGUUGGCCUGUAGGUGACACUAUUCCCAAAUUUGGCAUGGAGCCUCAGAUCGUUUCUCUGAUGAAGCGUUUCAUUUAUAAAUAAAUAUUUUGUUUGUAAAUAAAUAAAAAAUAAAAUAAAAUUAUGUACUAAAAAUGGGCACUACUGUAUUGGGUGUAGUCUUUUACUUUUAUAUAUUUUAAUAUAUAAAUAUAUUUAUAUAACAUUAAAUACAAAAACGACUUUAAUGAAUAAACAUUUCAAACCUUAUCUUUUAAAAGGUGAUAAACAUUAAAAUAAUUAUGUGUUUAAGGAAGAUGUUGAUCACUAGAAAGGAAAAUAAAUGUUGACUGUAAAAUAAAUAACUAACCACUUGUCCUCACCACAAUCACUCAACAGCGCAUAAAUAAAUGUGUGAACAUGAGUCAUUUCUUCAGUUUAUAUUCCACUCUGCUCUUGUUUGACUUUAUCCAUCAUCAUGAACUAUUUUAGCACAUUUUUGCAUUCAUGGCUCUUGAACCCCAUGAUCCACGGAUGUUUGUCAUUAUCAAUUAUUUCAUUGUCCCUCGGCUGUUAAAUUUGUUGUUUGGUUCAGUGAGUGUUUCUCUUCUUCUCACAAACCAUAAUCAAACACCACAGAGCAACUAAAUCACCAACACCAGGACGAGGCCUGGCGAGGGGCCCAGAAUGCAAUUUUUACAGAGGGGGACCCCUCCCUCCCCAAAUAAUCUAAAAUCUGUGUUUGUGCCGUUUUGCAAAAACUAGAAAAGGCUUAAGAGGUGAUUGAAUUCUGAUUUAAUAUUACUGUUGUAAACAUAACUUUAUGUACUAUUUUGCACCAACACCA
rnacentral:lncRNA from 1 species